rnacentral:rRNA from 1 species
AUUGAACGCUGGCGGCAGGCCUAACACAUGCAAGUCGAACGGUAACAGGAAGAAGCUUGCUUCUUUGCUGACGAGUGGCGGACGGGUGAGUAAUGUCUGGGAAACUGCCUGAUGGAGGGGGAUAACUACUGGAAACGGUAGCUAAUACCGCAUAACGUCGCAAGACCAAAGAGGGGGACCUUCGGGCCUCUUGCCAUCGGAUGUGCCCAGAUGGCAUUAGCUAGUAGGUGGGGUAACGGCUCACCUAGGCGACGAUCCCUAGCUGGUCUGAGAGGAUGACCAGCCACACUGGAACUGAGACACGGUCCAGACUCCUACGGGAGGCAGCAGUGGGGAAUCUUGCACAAUGGGCGCAAGCCUGAUGCAGCCAUGCCGCGUGUAUGAAGAAGGCCUUCGGGUUGUAAAGUACUUUCAGCGGGGAGGAAGGGAGUAAAGUUAAUACCUGUGCUCAUUGACGUUACCCGCAGAAGAAGCACCGGCUAACUCCGUG